rnacentral:rRNA from 1 species
UUUUUGUUGUUAAGGGCUUAGGGUGGAUGCCUUGGCACAUGGGAGCGAUGAAAGACGUGGGAGGCUACGAUAAGCCUCGGGGAGCUGUCAACCGAGCUGUGAUCCGAGGGUGUCUGAAUGAGGAAACUCACUGGGUAGGAAUGCCUAGUACUCAAACUUUGUUUGGGGGCGUACGUAGGGAAGUGAAACAUCUCAGUACCUACAGGAAAAGAUAUUCCGUUAGUAGUGGCGAGCGAAAGCGGAGGAGACCAAACCGGUUGUGUGUGAUACUUGUCAGGGGUUGCAUGAUCGGUGUUGUGGGAUGUUGUCGUACUGGUUCUGACAGGCUGGUGGCAAGUGAUAAAACAGGGUGUGAGCUGAACAGGAUUGAAUGCCUGGCUGUAGAGGGUGAUGGCCCCGUAGGUGUAAAUGCUUUGUCUUGUUGAUGAUGGUCCCAAGUAGCACGAUACUCGAGGAAUUUCGUGUGAAUCUGCCCAGACCGUUGGGUAAGUCUAAAUAUAUCCAUGUGACCGAUAGUGGACGAGUACCGUGAGGGAAAGGUGAAAAGUAGUCCGGGAGGACAGUGAAAUAGUUUCUGAAACCGUGAGCUUACAAUCCGUCGGAGCCUUGAGGGGUGACGGCGUGCCUAUCGAAAAAUGAGUCUGCGAGUUAGUGGUAUGUAGCGAGGUUAACCCGUGUGGGGGAUCCGUAGCGAAAGCGAGUUUUAAAAGGCGUUUGAGUUGCAUACUCUAGACCCGAAGCGGGAUGAUCUAUCCUUGAGCAGGUUGAAGCAGGGGUAAGACUUUGUGGAGGACCGAACGCACCUAGGUUGAAAACUGGGGCGAUGACUUGUGGAUAGGGGUGAAAGGCCAAUCAAAUUCCGUGAUAGCUGGUUCUCUCCGAAAUGCAUUUAGGUGCAGCGUCGGUUUUAGUUUCCAGGGGGUAGAGCUACUGGAUGCUUGCGGGCCCGUAUGGGGUACCAAUAGCAGCCAAACUCCGAAUACCUGUGAAGUGGUGGCCGGCAGUGAGUCAGCGGGGGAUAAGCUUCGUUGUCGAAAGGGAAACAGCCCAGAUCGUCGUCUAAGGUCCCUAAGCGUGUGCUAAGUGGGAAAGGAUGUGGAGUCGCAUAGACAGCCAGGAGGUUGGCUUAGAAGCAGCCAUCCUUGAAAGAGUGCGUAACAGCUCACUGGUCUAGUGGUUCCGCGCCGACAAUGUAGCGGGGCUCAAGCACACCACCGAAGACGCGGCAAUCAGUCUUUUUGGCUGGUUGGGUAGGAGAGCGUUGUCUACUGGGGUGAAGCAGGCGUGGAAACGUUUGUGGACUGUAGACAAGUGAGAAUGCAGACAUGAGUAACGAAAGACGGGUGAAAAUCCCGUCCGCUGGAUGACUAAGGGUUCCAGGGCCACGUUCAUCGUCCCUGGGUGAGUCGGGUCCUAAGGCGAGGCCGACAGGCGUAGUCGAUUGGAUGAAGGAGUUGAUAUUCUCCUACCAGUGUAUUCUCGACCAUUCCGAGGCUUACUGUACUAACCUCACACUUCUUACUGUUUCAUCUUUCGGGGUGUUGUGGUUGGUUGUGUUUGGGAUCUUGGUUUGUAGUAGGACAGCACAGGAGUGACGCAUUGGGAUAGCUGACAUGUCAGGUGGUUUUGGCAUGGUAAGCACGCAGCCUGUGGGAUAGGUAAAUCCGUUCCACGUGAGGGUGAGGUGUGAUGCGCGCUGGUUUUAUACUGGUGUUUUGGUGAUUCUUGGUGUCAAGAAAAUCUUCGGUGUGAGAGGAUAUAUCUGCCCGUACCCUAAACCGACACAGGUGGUCAGGUAGAGUAUACCAAAGCGAUCGAGCGAAUCCUGGUCAAGGAACUCGGCAAAUUACUCCCGUGCCUUCGGUAUAAGGGAGACCCUUGAUGGUGAAACUCUUUACGGGUGGAGCUUUUGGGGGUGGCACAGACCAGGGGGUAGCGACUGUUUACCAAAAACACAGGUGCAUGCGAAGACGUAAGUCGCUGUAUAUGCACUGACGCCUGCCCGGUGCCGGAAGGUUAAGAGGAUCCAUUAACCCUUUUGGGGUGAAGUGGUGAAUUUAAGCCCCGGUAAACGGCGGUGGUAACUAUAACCAUCCUAAGGUAGCGAAAUUCCUUGUCGGGUAAGUUCCGACCUGCACGAAUGGCGUAACGACUUCCCCACUGUCUCGACCAGGAGCUCGGUGAAAUUGCAGUACGAGUAAAGAUGCUCGUUAAGCGCAGAAGGACGAAAAGACCCCGGGACCUUUACUAUACCUUGGUAUUGGCAUUCGGUGUGGAUUGUGUAGCAUAGGCGGGAGACUGUGAGGCCAGGGCGCUAGCUUUGGUGGAGUCGUCAAGUGAAAUACCGUUCUGUUUAUAUUGGAUGUCUAACCUCGAACAGUUAUCCUGUUCAGGGACAGUGCCUGGCGGGUAGUUUAACUGGGGCGGUUGCCUCCUAAAGAGUAACGGAGGCGCUCAAAGGUUCCCUCAGCCCGGUUGGUAAUCGGGUGUUGAGUGUAAUUGCACAAGGGAGCUUGACUGUGAGACUGACGGGUCGAGCAGGGACGAAAGUCGGAAAUAGUGAUCCGGUGCCGGCGUACGGACGCGGCAUCGCUCAACGGAUAAAAGGUACCCCGGGGAUAACAGGCUGAUCAUUCCCAAGAGUCCAUAUCGACGGGAUGGUUUGGCACCUCGAUGUCGGCUCGUCGCAUCCUGGGGCUGGAGCAGGUCCCAAGGGUUCGGCUGUUCGCCGAUUAAAGCGGCACGCGAGCUGGGUUCAGAACGUCGUGAGACAGUUUGGUCUCUAUCCUCUGCGCUCGUUGGAAUUUUGAGGAGUCCUGCCCAUAGUACGAGAGGACCUGGGUGGACGAACCUCUGGUAUGCCAGUUGUCACGCCAGUGGCAUGGCUGGUUAGCUACGUUCGGAAGGGAUAACCGCUGAAAGCAUCUAAGCGGGAAGCCCUCUCCAAGAUGAGAAUUCCUGACACUCCUUUGAGGGUGUGUGAGACUCCCGAGAGAUGAUCGGGUUGAUAGGCCAGGUGUGGAAGCGUGGUAACACGUGGAGCUGACUGGUACUAAGAGUCGAAGACAAUAACACACCAUAAU